AUCUCUCUUGCCCAGCAGUAUCCCUAUGAAAACAGGAUAGAAAUUUCAAAAACCAGAACAGCGGGAACAAAAUGGAAAGACAUACAUCAUAAGAACCAAGGUAACAUAACAUUCAUUUAUGAAACUGCAUGAGAAAGCUUUAAUAGAUGUUCAUUGCCAACAAACAUGAUUGAUCUUGACUUCAGACAAACAAUUUACCUUGGCGCAAGGGUGUUUCAUCUUGGAAAAGUAUUAUAAUAAAAAUGAAAUACCCUACAGACAACAGUACAGCUCUGUGAUCAAUGUCAGGCUUGUUAGAUUGUAAUAAUUGGUUGAUCUAAG
rnacentral:misc_RNA from 1 species